rnacentral:lncRNA from 1 species
GUGAGUGCAGCAAUCAGUUCCUAGCCUAAGGAAAGAUGCUUAAGCCUUAAAGAAAUGCCAACGUUGGGAGGGGGAGGGAAGUCAGUUACAGGAGGUUACCAGAAACAGUAAUAAGACUAUUAUGCAAGAUUUAAGUCCUUGCCUUUGGCAUUGCUUAAAGAGUUUCUAGAGACAAGGUCAUCACCCCUUCUUCCUGUUAGAGAGGGGGAUAUCUUUACAGAGGGAGAGUUCCUUGUUCUAUUGCUCCCAUUACAUGUAUGUCAGACCUGAGCUAACAUCUGUUGCCAAUCUUCCUUGUUUUGCUUGAGGAAAAUUGUCAUGGAGCUCCUAACAAAGGAGGAGAAAACAGAGGCCUGGAGAGAUUAAAUAACCUGCCCAAGAUUAUUUUUUUAAAAAGAAACGGCAAAGAUUCUGAGAUUCAAAUCGCCGUCUGGUAGAUUUCAAAGUUUCAUCUCAUCCUCCGUUGCCUACAUCACACCAGCUCCUUGAAGGAAGCAGCAGGAAGAUUAGCCCUGAACUAACAUCUGCUGCCAAUCCUUCUCUCUUUGCUGAGGAAGACCGGCCCUGACCCCACAUCCAUGUCCAUCCUCCUCCACUUUACAUGUGGGAUGCCUACCACAGCAUGGCUUGCCAAGCGGUAGCAUGUCCACACCUAGGAUCCGGGCCAGCGAAUCCCAGGCCGCUGAAGCGGAACGUGCGAACUUAACUGCUACGCCACUGGGCCGGCCCCUGAUGUGUGCUUUUGAUGGGCUGUUUCUUUUUCUUCCCCUAAAAGCAGUUGUUACAUUGAUGGUGGAUCUUACAAUCGAUGGUGUCUGAGAAUCUGGGGAAUACAGUAAUAACCGUCAAUGGCAAAGUCAGUUACAGGACCCAGGAUGCCAGCCUCCAUGUCCAGUGUCGUGACCCCAAAAUCACCAUGUUCCAGGGGUAGGCUUCUGUCAUGUGUGUGGCCUCUGGGGCCACCUGUCCCUACCCUUGGGCUGUGUUGGUGGGGCCUUGGCCCAGGCUUGGACAUUUUUCAAGUGUGCAAAGAUUCAUUUCAUUCUUUGACUGAAAGCAAAGGGCACCAUCCCCAGGGCCGGGAUCCGACCACCUGAGAGGAAGCACUAAGGCAACGUGAAAGCAAACAUGGAAGUAGGAACUAGGCUGCAGAUGGAGACAGUCCCAGCUGUACCAGGCAGAAAACAUACACACACACACCCCGACACACCAACUUUCUGUCCUGAGUCAUCACCUUUCCUGGUUCCACAUGCUUAGUCGACAUGCCACACUUUCUCUAGAAUCUCGGUUUCCCCCACCUGGUUUCUUGCCCAAGUAGCUUGUGGAGUUGAAGAAGGAGAAAUCAAUAAAAGAUUUGAAGGGCCUGUGAGAGCAGUCCUGGCUGUGGAGACCCCCGGGGUGGCUGGCGCCUCCCAGCCAGUCACUCUGGGCCCCUGAACAUUCCUUGCAGGAGAGCCUGAGCCCCAGACCCUUGUGAGAACUCUCCUGUGGGAGGCUGAGGCUGAGCUGCUGGCAUCUCAAGAGACUGCAGCCACAGCAGAAGCCACAGGAGAGACCCCUCACAGAAGCCAAUCUGUCAGCCACACCCCAACCUCUUUUGUCCUUGUUUUGUUCACAUUCUGUGUCCUGUGCCCCAGAGACCCUAUCACACAGCAGCAGGAGGGGCACACGCAGUCCAGGGCCUGGCCCACGCUGACAGGGCUGUGUCGGCAGCCCUGUCCUUACCCUUCUCCUCUUUGCAGGAGCCAGGAGGCUGGGGUGCAGAGGAGGGGGAGACACAGUCAUCUUGGGCAAAGAAGCCUGGCAGUGCAUUGCAGUGGGAAGGCCAGAGGCCAGCUCCACCCCCUGCCCCCCCUUCCCAGCUCCAGUGGCAUAAAGGUGACAGCCAUCAAGAUGUGCCACUCAGCGUUACUGCUGAGGAGAGCAGGCUUGGCGGGAGGCCCCAACUGCUGCCCCUCAGGAUCCUCCUCCGCAUUCACACUGAAGCCACGUUCCCCAGGCCUACUCCCAGCCAAUGCUGGGCAUGAGCAGUGGGGAGAACAAAUGCAGGCCACGCCUGUGAGACCUAGGACUCCUCCAACAGGCAGCUGGCUCCGGGACUCCCCAUCCAUCUGCCUCAACCUUUCUCAGAGCCAUGCUGCAGUUUAAGGCUCUUCCUGCCUUCCUUGCCCAAAAAGAGAUCUGGCCUCUUGACUCCUGGGAGAUAAUCUUUGUUUACCUGGGGAACUCAGGCUGGCCAGAUAGUAACAAUGUGACUUAGGGUGGAGGCUGGCCACACCAGAAAGACUCAUGAUUUAGGGGUCUUUGAUUUAGGUUGGGGCUUUGGAUCAUGCAGUAUCAGUCAACGUGGAGACUGAGAUCAACUACAUGGGCAAUCAAUCAAUCAUGGCGGCAUGAUGGAGGCCCAGUCAAACCUCUAAAUACCAGGGCUCAGGUGAGCUUCCCUGGUUUGCAGUACUCCAUGCAUAUUGUCUCACACUGAUGCCAGAAAAGCAACGUGUCCUGACUCCCCAGGGAGAGGUCAGUUUAAAAGCUCUGGUUUGUUACUUCCCUGGACUCCAUCCUAUGCACAUCUUCCCUUGGUUUUUAAAAAUCUGUAUCCUUUCCCUGUAAUAAACUGUAACCAUGAGUAGAACAGCUUUCAGUGAGUUCUGUGAGUCCUUCU